UCCUCGGUGGCUCAGUUGGUUAGAGAGCUGGACUAGCGAUUCGGAGGUUGCGGGUUCGAGUCUCGCUCGAGAAG